rnacentral:tRNA from 2 species
GUUGGGGUGGCAGAUUCCGGCUAUUGCAGAAGACCUAAGCUUUUCCCACAGAGGUUCAAAUCCUCUUCCCAACU